AGCAUGCUACAGAGUGGAAUCAAUUCAGGUGCACACAGCAUGGAUGCCGCCAGAUCUUAGGACUUGGUCCUUCUGACACAGUGGGGGACCAGGGGUGGUGAGAUUUGGGGGUGAGCAAGAUUCUGAGGAGAGCAGAGCAAUAGAAACCACAACGAAGACAUGGAGUAAUAAAGACCACACCCAAUUGAUAGUCCUCUUCUUAGAUGACCCUGGUUUGUGUCAAGUUGAUAGACUAGCCAGCACAUGUGGGUUCCAAGAGUGGAACCAAUACCAUCAGGACUUCCUUCCUGUGUGGAUCUCUGCAACCUCCAUGGCCAACAGAGACAUGAUCCAAGGGAAGCAAGAAGGCAGUUUGGUUCAACACAACUAAGUAGCUGGUGAUGGUUCUAACUUUGCCCAGAUUCCGCCCCAUAAUCCUCACCUGGGUCCUGCCGAGAAGGGAAUAAAUGCCAGAGGUGACCUAUCCUUGAUGUUCUCUGGAUCAAAGCGGAAGGGGUCAUAGACCUGCAGAGGAGACCAGCCAUGGUGAAUGAGUGGCAUCUACCAGCACAGCCAGAGACAGAGUCUUGAGCGUGCCUGGAAAAGUGAGGACUCUUCCACUGCUCCAGGCAGCUUUCCCUCUGCCACCUCUUGCCUUGAUUCUGCAGACUGGGUUCCAAGGCCCAGAGAUGGAACUCACUCCUGACAGUUGCUGUUGAAGCUGAAGACACAUCGCUGCAAAGUGUCCAAGGUCAUGAGGCUGAUGUUCUGAAACAUGUCCAGUCGAGUGCUACCCCCUGACGCCAGGUGCAGCCACUUGUCCUUGGUAGAAAAAUAGACAGUGACCUAGUUGGAUCUUGGUUCCCCGAGACUCUGUCCAACCCCAACCACAAUGGACACCUUCAAACCAGCCUUCUGGAAUUUUCACCCCAGAUACCUGAUCUCAGAGAUAACCCAAACUGAGUAACUGUGGAAGUUGUUACUAUAGCAGAUGAUGACCCAAGACUGGCUCAGGAGUCCUGAGUUCAAGACCAAGCUCUGAUUCCCAUGCGCUGUCAUUCCAUUUCCCUCUCCUAGUUCUUGUCUGUCCCAUCUUUAGGAAAAGCUAAGUUGUUAAACUGCUAAACUGAGAGGAAACCAUGUGCCACCUUGUGCUCCCUUCCUGCAGGAUAACUUGAACAAAGUAUCUGAUAUAUAUGACCUCGAGGUUUAUCAUUAAUGAGAAAAAGCAACCCAUGUACUUCACAGACUCAUGGAGAUUAAUUUGGCCAGUAUAGAUUAUUGGAUUGGGUCUUAGCAUCAGCCCUAGCCUAUGGUAAACUCUCAAUACAUGGUACCCCUUUUACUGUCACUACCAUAAGUGGGUUUCAAAAUUAUCCGUUUGUUGAAAAUGAUAGACUUUCAUUGUUUCUUGAGAAACUUUGUUAGACAUGCCAAGAACGAACUGUUAUGAUAUCCCUAAACGUGGACUAUUUCUCCAAUGUUAUUGCAGAAAACCUGAGGAUACAGUGAUGAUUCUCCAUGGAUAAAAAUAAGACAAAAUUCUGCUUGUUAUAAAAGCAGAUUCCCUGAGACUCAGUAAAAAUUAUUUAUAAUGAUAUUUAUUAUAGCUUAUUAUUAAAAUUCUGUAAGACUCAGUCAUAUUAUUGUAAUAUCAUAUUAUGUUAGCAUGUGAGAUGUGCCUAUUGUAGCCCACUUGCAUUGCUCCCAUGGAAGGGAAGUCCCUUGGAAAAGGAUAAAAACUGGAAUGAUACACAUGUUGUAUGCAAUGCAGUGAGUAAAAGAUUGGCUUUUAUAUCUAA